ACGCAUGGUAGGAGAGCGUUCCGUAAGCCUGCGAAGGUGCCUUGUAAAGGGUGCUGGAGGUAUCGGAAGUGCGAAUGCUGACAUGAGUAGCGAUAAAGGGGGUGAAAGGCCCCCUCGCCGUAAGCCCAAGGUUUCCUACGCAACGUUCAUCGGCGUAGGGUGAGUCGGCCCCUAAGGCGAGGCAGAAAUGCGUAGCUGAUGGGAAGCAGGUCAAUAUUCCUGCACCGUCGUUAGAUGCGAUGGGGGGACGGAUCGCGGAAGGUUGUCCGGGUGUUGGAAGUCCCGGUCGCUGCAUUGGAGAAGGCGCUUAGGCAAAUCCGGGCGCAGGAUUCAAGGGUGUGGCGCGAGCGACUUAGGUCGCGAAGCAAUUGGAAGUGGUUCCAAGAAAAGCCUCUAAGCUUCAGUCUAACGAUGACCGUACCGCAAACCGACACAGGUGGGCGAGAUGAGUAUUCUAAGGCGCUUGAGAGAACUCGGGAGAAGGAACUCGGCAAAUUGGUACCGUAACUUCGGGAUAAGGUACGCCCUUGUAGCUUGACUGGCCUGCGCCAGGAGGGUGAAGGGGUUGCAAUAAACUGGUGGCUGCGACUGUUUAAUAAAAACACAGCACUCUGCAAACACGAAAGUGGACGUAUAGGGUGUGACGCCUGCCCGGUGCCGGAAGAUUAAAUGAUGGGGUGCAAGCUCUUGAUUGAAGUCCCGGUAAACGGCGGCCGUAACUAUAACGGUCCUAAGGUAGCGAAAUUCCUUGUCGGGUAAGUUCCGACCUGCACGAAUGGCGUAACGAUGGCCACACUGUCUCCUCCCGAGACUCAGCGAAGUUGAAGUGUUUGUGAUGAUGCAAUCUACCCGCGGCUAGACGGAAAGACCCCAUGAACCUUUACUGUAGCUUUGCAUUGGACUUUGAACCGAUCUGUGUAGGAUAGGUGGGAGGCUAUGAAACCGGAACGCUAGUUUCGGUGGAGCCGUCCUUGAAAUACCACCCUGGUUUGUUUGAGGUUCUAACCUUGGCCCGUGAUCCGGGUCGGGGACAGUGCAUGGUAGGCAGUUUGACUGGGGCGGUCUCCUCCCAAAGCGUAACGGAGGAGUACGAAGGUACGCUAGGUACGGUCGGAAAUCGUGCUGAUAGUGCAAUGGCAUAAGCGUGCUUAACUGCGAGACCGACAAGUCGAGCAGGUGCGAAAGCAGGUCAUAGUGAUCCGGUGGUUCUGUAUGGAAGGGCCAUCGCUCAACGGAUAAAAGGUACUCUGGGGAUAACAGGCUGAUACCGCCCAAGAGUUCAUAUCGACGGCGGUGUUUGGCACCUCGAUGUCGGCUCAUCUCAUCCUGGGGCUGUAGCCGGUCCCAAGGGUAUGGCUGUUCGCCAUUUAAAGAGGUACGUGAGCUGGGUUUAAAACGUCGUGAGACAGUUUGGUCCCUAUCUGCCGUGGGCGUUGGAUAUUUGAAGGGGGCUGCUCCUAGUACGAGAGGACCGGAGUGGACGAACCUCUGGUGUACCGGUUGUGACGCCAGUCGCAUCGCCGGGUAGCUAUGUUCGGAAGAGAUAACCGCUGAAAGCAUCUAAGCGGGAAACUCGCCUUAAGAUGAGAUAUCCCUGGGGACUUGAUCCCCUUGAAGGGUCGUUCGAGACCAGGACGUUGAUAGGUCAGGUGUGUAAGCGCAGUAAUGCGUUCAGCUAACUGAUACUAAUUGCCCGUAAGGCUUGAUCCUAUAACA
rnacentral:rRNA from 1 species